UAGUCCAUGCUGUAAACUAUGUUCAUUAGGUGUAGGGGGUAUCGACCCCUCCUGUGCCGUAGCUAACGCGUUAAAUGAACCGCCUGGGAACUACGACCGCAAGGUUAAAACUCAAAGAAAUUGACGGGGGCCCGCACAAGCAGUGGAUCAUGUGGUUUAAUUCGACGAUACGCGAAAAACCUUACCAGCCCUUGACAUCUGCCCGAUCAGUAUAGAGGUAUACUGUGACUCGCAAGAGAAGGCAAGACAGGUGGUGCAUGGCUGUCGUCAGCUCGUGUUGUGAAAUGUUGGGUUAAGUCCCGCAACGAGCGCAACCCCUAUCUUAUGUUACCAGCACGUUAUGGUGGGUACUCAUUAGAAACUGCCUGUGGAAAACAGGAGGAAGGCGGGGAUGACGUCAAGUCCUCAUGCCCCUUAUGGACUGGGCUACACACAUGAUACAAUGGUUAGGACAAAGGGUUGCCAAACCGCAAGGUGGAGCUAAUCCCAGAAAACUAAUCUCAAUUCGGAUUG
rnacentral:rRNA from 1 species